GACGAACGCUGGCGGCGUGCCUAAUACAUGCAAGUAGAACGCUGAAGGAGGAGCUUGCUUCUCUGGAUGAGUUGCGAACGGGUGAGUAACGCGUAGGUAACCUGCCUGGUAGCGGGGGAUAACUAUUGGAAACGAUAGCUAAUACCGCAUAAGAGUAGAUGUUGCAUGACAUUUACUUAAAAGGUGCAAUUGCAUCACUACCAGAUGGACCUGCGUUGUAUUAGCUAGUUGGUGAGGUAACGGCUCACCAAGGCAACGAUACAUAGCCGACCUGAGAGGGUGAUCGGCAACACUGGGACUGAGACACGGCCCAGACUCCUACGGGAGGCAGCAGUAGGGAAUCUUCGGCAAUGGACGGAAGUCUGACCGAGCAACGCCGCGUGAGUGAAGAAGGUUUUCGGAUCGUAAAGCUCUGUUGUAAGAGAAGAACGAGUGUGAGAGUGGAAAGUUCACACUGUGACGGUAUCUUACCAGAAAGGGACGGCUAACUACGUG
rnacentral:rRNA from 1 species